rnacentral:lncRNA from 1 species
GCGCCCGGCGGGGCCCGGCUCGGCGCCCGCCCCCGCGCACCGCAGCAGCCGCCCGAUGGCGCCGCACAGCUCCUUGCUGGUGAGCGUGUAGAUGACGGGGUUGAGCAGCGAGUUGGUCAUGGCCAGCCCCAGGAAGUAGUCCGCCUGGUAGAGCACGCCGCACGCCUGCGGGUAGCACCAGACGUCGAGCAGCAGCAGCAGGAAGAGGGGCAGCCAGCAGGCGAUGAAGGUGCCCACCACGAUGGUGACCGUCCGCAGCAGCGCCAGGUACUUCUGGGACUUGCGCAGGGCGCCCUUGCGGAGGCCGCCCAGGCGCCGGCCGUUCACCUUGACCGCGCGGUAGACGCGGGCGUAGAGCACCACGAUGGAGACCAGGAUGGCCAGGAAGACGGUGAUGCAGAAGAAGACGUAGCGCUUGGAGUAGAGCGGCAGCACGGUGGAGCACUGCGGCAGGUCGUCGAUGCAGUUCCAGCCCAGGAUGGGCAGCGCGCCCAGCAGCACCGAGGCCGCCCAGCUGGCCGCCACCAGCAGGAACAUCCGCCCCUUCUUGUCCCCGUGGUAGAGCUUCAUGCGGAUCAUGGUGAUGUGGCGCUCGAUGGCGAUGGCCAGCAGGCUCAGCACCGAGGCCGCCAGCGUCACGAAGACGCCGCCCUCCCGCAGGAACCACAGCACCGGCGUCAGCUUCAGCGUGUUGGCCCCGGACAUGACGAUGUUGGCCGUGUAGGCGACGCCGGCCAGGAGGUCGGAGAGCGUCAGGUUGCCCAGCAGGUAGUACAUGGGCGAGUGGAACUUCUUGUUCCUCCAGAUGGCCAGCAGCACCACCAGGUUCUCCAGCACGAUGACGCCGCAGAUGACCAGGAAGACGACGGCCUCGGGCCGCAGGCUGCCCUUGUAGCGCCCGGCGUGCAGCUUGCCCGUGUAGUUGUAGUGCAGCGAGAUGAUCUCGUUGUUGUGGUACUCGCGGUAGAGCCGCACCAGGCGUCCCGGCGCCUCGGCCAGCUCCAUGCCG